rnacentral:rRNA from 1 species
UACGUAGGGGGCGAGCGUUGUCCGGAUUUAUUGGGCGUAAAGAGCGUGUAGGCGGUCCGGUAAGUCGGUUGUGAAAGUCCAGGGCUCAACCCUGGGAUGCCGACCGAUACUGUCGGACUAGAGUUCGGAAGAGGCGAGUGGAAUUCCCGGUGUAGCGGUGAAAUGCGCAGAUAUCGGGAGGAACACCUAUGGCGAAGGCAGCUCGCUGGGACGUUACUGACGCUGAGACGCGAAAGCGUGGGGAGCAAACAGG